ACGGGUGCGUAACGCGUAUGCAACCUACCAUAACGGAACAUAACGUUGAGAAUCGGCGCUAAUAUUCCAUGUGUAUAUUUUGUGGCAUCAUAGGAUAUAUAAAGAUUAAUUGGUUAUGGAUGGGCAUGCGUAUCAUUAGCUAGUUGGUAGGGUAACGGCCUACCAAGGCUGCGAUGAUUAGGGGUUCUGAGAGGAUAACCCCCACACUGGAACUGAGACACGGUCCAGACUCCUACGGGAGGCAGCAGUAGGGAAUAUUGGGCAAUGGAGGCAACUCUGACCCAGCCAUGCCGCGUGGAAAAGGAAGACGGUCCUAUGGAUUGUAAACUUCUUUUAUCAUAGAGUAACCGCAGGGACGUGUCCCUGCCUGCAAGUAUAUGACGAAUAAGCAUCGGCUAACUCCGUGCCAGCCGCCGC
rnacentral:rRNA from 1 species